UUAAUAACCCUUGCAGGGUCCUUCCCUUGCAUGCAUGGAUUGCACCGAUAAAAUUGAAUGACAGGAAUCUGGAACCGGAGACUCUGUUGAUCAUCAAUGUCGGAUAAUAGUUUAUACUCGCGAGGUGUGGCCUUGGCCGGAGCAACAAGCUCGGCUUCGCUUCUUCGAAUUGUAAAUACUAGGGAAGUUGGCAGUUGUGCCAUAGCACAAAACCUGUAGGAUUUAUGUGGGGUUAGACACAGAUGAUAGAAAGAAUACUUAGAGAUCAGCUGAUAAAAUGUGUGUUGGUUGUUUAAGCAUUGUGGAAGUAAUAUUUAUAAGGACGGAUUUUUUUAUGUAAGUUGAAUAAAAUUAAAUAAGUUGGCAGGAUUUUAUCACUCAAUAUGUGAAAAAUAAGCGACGACAAAUCUUAAACAUAUUAAUAUUCACUGAUAUUUCUUUAUUUAUUGUUUAUUUUUAUACCUAUUUUGUCUAAUCAGCAAAGUAUGUUUUCCUAUUUCAAAAAUUAAAAAUUAAAAGCAAUGUAUGUUUGCCAAAUUGGUUUGAGAUUUUGCUGAUACCAGUGAAAGAGACGUGCCCGCUGAAUAUAAUAUAAUAUAAUAUAUAUAUUGAUAAUAAAAACAAUAAAAUGCAGUUAAUUAAUUAAUUUUUGAAUGAAUAUAAUAUUUAUAGAUUAAGAGAACCAUUUGGGACAUUAAAUUGGUCCACAUCCUUAGGGAGGCUAAUUAUUUUGCUGAUCCAAAAAAGGAAGUGUACUGCUCUGUUUUCAUUCAAACGUGGCUGUAGCUGAGUGCUUUGAUGUUCUGAUUUGAGAUGCAUUGCCUGGUUGUCGUUAAAGCUUUUUCCUGGAAAAAGCUGUUUUGUAACGACCUUUUUGGUUGGAUAAAAUUCAAUUUUUGGUUGAAAAAAACAAUAUUUAAUUUAAACAAUCGAAAUUUUAAUCAAAUUAAUUGAAUUUAUUUUAAUUAAUUAAUUUUUAAAAAUAAAAUUUUUAAUUUAAUUAAUUUAUUUUAAAAUUAAUCGAAUCUAUAAAAUAAAUAAUACAUCGAAAUGAUCUUCAUGACUUCAAAAAAAAGUCGUGUACGCUAAAAAAAUAAUACAUCGAAAUGAUCUUCAUGACUUCAAAAAAAGGUCGUGUACGCUGAGUCCAUGCCUAAAUCAGGAAACUUAUUAUCUACCACAGUAAUUACGUUAUAAAAAGAAAAAUUUUGUGAAGCAGACAAAGCAUGCUGCGUCAGACGGAUUUUGUUUUUUUCUCUUACAAAAAUUGCGUGGUGAAAUAAGCAGCGGCCCACCAAUAAAACGACAAAUUUGACACUAUUUUCGCACAGUUAAUCAGUCAGAAUCUUUCGAUCUGUCAAUUAUGAAAUGAGAGUUCCACAAAUUUUGCCCAUCAGUAUUAAUUUGAUUUAUUGUUGUUUUCUCAUAAUUUUGAGUAUAUAAAUGAUUAAACUUAAAUUAUAUGAAAUAAUCACUAAAACUAAUCUAUGAUAAAUUUAAAUCUUUAUUAAUGCUCUUUUUUUAUUGAAGUUUAGAGAACAAAAUUAAGAUUCGUAAAUCUAUAGUUAGAUUUAAUAAAUAGAGUUAUUAUCAAUCUUUUUUAUUAGAUAUGAUUGAUCAUUUAAUGAAUUUAUUUUUUCAAAUAACUUCUAAGCUUGACUAAGAGUCUUUAAAAGAAUAAGUUUUGAUUUAUUAAUCAAAACUGAAUUUAAAAAUUCAGUUAUAUAUGAAGAAAGUUAUAGUACCUCCAUGUGCCCAUAAAAAAAUGGUACUAUUUUAUUUUAAAUUAUCUUAAGAUCUCAAUUAUAAUGAUCUUAAAAUUAAUGUUAAAUAUUAGAAAUAACUUUUAAGAUUUUUCAUCAAUCUGGUAAAUUUAUUAAAAUUUAUGUUAUCACCUCAAUAGUACUUAAGAAUCUCAUUUAUUUUUUUGAAGAGAUUCCGUCGUCGAAAAAAAUUUUAAUUAUUUUUUAUUUUGAUUUUUUUAAAAUAUAUAUAAUUAUUUCAUAAUUUGAGCUAAAUUAGAAAUAUCUUUUCUUUUUAAUUUCUAAAUUUUUCACUAUUUGGGCCUAUUUAGAAAUUUUCUUUUUAAUUUUUAAACUUUUCACUAUUUGAGUUUACUUAAAAAAUUUUAUUUCUCAUUGGAAAGAAAAUAAUAUGAUAAUUAUUUUUUAUUGAAAUUUCAUUUAAAUUUUUUUACCAUUUAGAACAAAUUUAAAGAAAUUUCUUACAUAGAGAUUUUUUAAGAAAUUUACGAUUUGAAUUUUAUAAGAUUCUCAUCCUUGGAUAAUUGUCAAAUAUUUUUCACCAAAAAAUUUUAUUUUAACUUAUUAUUAUUAUUUGUUUGAAAAUAAAUAUUAAUUAUUAUUAUUAAAAUUUUAUCUAAAUUAUUCUACCAUUUGGGAUAAAUUUAGAAAAAAAUUUCUCACAUAGAAAAUUUAUAGAAAUUUAUAAUUUAAAAUUUUUAAAAAUUUCAUCAUUAGAUAAUUAUUAUUUAUUCUCAAAAAAUAUUUUAUCUUUUUUUAUAUUUUAUAUAUUUUUUUAAAAUUUAAUCAUGCAAAAAAUAAAUAAAUAAUAAAUAAUAUCUAAAAUCAGCUCUGUUUGGUGGCUGAAACGGUUUGCUUCAGACAUAGAUAACGACUGAAAGACGGGACUUAGGAGACUCGGUUCGAUUGGAGGUGUUGGCUGGAAAGCGGGUUAAUAGAACAAGUUGCGAUUGGGUUGAGUCACCCGUUGGGAAAACAUGCAGAUCCUAGGGGCUGCUUAAGGCCAAAACGAAGUCAUUUCAGUGAAAGUAUAAAAGCUUGAAUUCAGUUUUUUGGGGUUAGACUUCACCUUUGCUCUCUUUUUCUCUUUUUCCCUUCCUCUCUCUUUAGAAUUCGAAAAACUCCGAUUGAAUCUUCACCGAAUUUUUGAAAAAGUUGACAGAAUCUAGGUUAGUUCGCCAGAAGUUCACCUAAAGAUUCAACCUUUACUUGAAUCUUCUACUGGGUUUUGAAAAAUUAGUCAAAAAAUUUAACCGUUACAAAAAAAAUCACCCGAAUCUGAAAAUUUUAUCCGAAUUUGGAAGUUUUUCAGAUUUUUUCAAAAAAAAAAAUCUUCUUUUUUCAAACAAAAAAUGUUCAAAAAAAGUUUUACUUUCAAAAUUUAAAAUUUAUAACCUAUUUAUUUACUCCACCUUUUAAGCUAUGUAUAUUCGUUUAAUAUGUAUAUAUAUUAAUUUUAAAAUGAUUAAAAGAUAAUCAAAUCAAUUAAAAUUAAUUUUGGAAUAUAUCAAAUGAAAUGAAUUUCAUUAUUAUUAUUAUUACACUAAUUUCAAAAUCCUUAUUUUUUCAUAAAGCUUUUGGCAAAAAAAGAAAAUUUCGAAUGUGGAUGGCCUAUACUAUUGACAUAUAGACGAUUUUGAAAAAUCUCCAUGUGUCCUAUAUUUUAUUUUAUUUGAAUUAUGUUUAAAAAAUUAAAUUAAUUAUAUUUAUUUUCUAUUAUUAUUUACUUUAAAUCUAUCUCAAUUAAAUUCAUAAAAUUAUUUUAGUUGCCAUCAUCAUAGGAUAAUUUUGUGUUUUUUUUGAAUUAUAAUAUUCAACUCUUAAGUUACAUUUGUGUAAAAAAAAUUCACUUUCCAAUUUUAAAAUCUAUGACCUAUUUAUUUAUUUCACCUUUUAAGCUAUGUAUAUACGUUUAAUAUAUAUAUAUAUAUAUAUUAAUUUUAAAAUGGUUAAUAGAUGAUCAAAUUAAUUAAAAUUUAUAUUGGAAUAUAUCAAAUAAAAUGAAUUUCAUUACCAUUAUUACACUAAUUUCAAAAUCCUUAUUUUUUCAUUUCUCCUAAACAAUUUAAAUACAGAAUAUGUUUGAUUAUUUUAAUUGUUAAGCAUAAGUUACUCUUAAUUUAAAAUACUAUUAUUGAUCUUGAUUUGGUUCUUAAAUUAUUUUUAAUUAAUUAGACAUUCAAAAGUUACAAAUCAUCCAAUAAGUAUUUUCAAUACUCAUCCUAUAAAUAAGGGUGCUUUGAGAUGCUUAAGAAAUAAAUUGUUUCCUUGCAAUAUUUUUUUCCUGGAUAUUCCUUUGUCAUGUAGUAGAUCUAGCUUAAAUCCUAUAAAUAAGUUCUCUUUUGAUACAAAAGGUAGGAGAAGUAACAGUGACAAAUGUCUAUAGAGAGGCAAAUAGGAUGGCUGACUCAUUGGCAAAAGCGGGGGUGGAGAGAUCAAAUAUGUUUAUGGCCUGGUGGUAGUUUGACUGUGAGGAACGUAUGUAGCUGAUUACUGCCUUUCAAGGGUUCCCUUUCUAAGAUGGUGUUUAGGAUUGUUUUGUUAGAGCUUGCCUGGACAGAUCUGCUACUUUUUUUUUUUUGGUAUGUAAUGGAUGGAUUGUGGUGUAGAAUUGGGGUGUUGGACUGUGUUUGGUGUGUAAUGGAAGAGAGUUCAGUACUUUCUUUCGAAAUAUCUUUAACACAUUAAUAAAAUCAUACUGAUUUAGCAAAAAAAAAAAAAUUUCUUUCUUUUUGUUUGUGAUGUUAUAUAUGGAUGGAUUAGAUGCACAAAUUACUUUAUGUUUGGUUUUGUAUUAUUUUUGUGUAUUGCUUUAUUUUUUCUUUGUGUUAAGAAUUUUUAGGUUAAUUUUUUAUCAUAGUUGUAUAAUGAUUUUUUAAAAAUCAUUUUUUAAAAGAAAUUUUAAAAAUAAUCAACAUUUCUUGAAAAGUUAAUGUUUUGGAUAUAUUUUUAACUUUUGGCUAUUGCUAUUAGUUCUAUUAUAGUUUAAAUUAUACAUGUAUUGUAUAUAUCUUAUAUAUUUUUUAGUUUUUGUUAUGAUAUCAAUUUAUAUAUCAAAUUCCCAUUAUACUUUAUCAUGAAAUAAAAGAUUAAGUUUGAUGAUAAAUUAGAGAAAAGUGAUCACUUACCCUAUCAUAUAUAUCAAGUAUGCAUUUUAUUUUUUAUUUAUUGUAUGAAAUGAAUUGAUCUAUUAUUUUUCGUAGUGAUGAUUUUUUUUUGUUUAUCAUUAUGAUAUUAUGUUUGUUGUUUUGAUAUUAUUACUCUCAUGAUCUAAUUUGAAAUGAAACUAAUUACUAUCGAAGUAAACAAAAAUUGAUAAAAGUAGGUCUUUAGUUUAAAUUUUUUGAUAUAUAUAACAAGUGUUAUAAGGUUUAUGGUAAAUAAUAGUUAUUUUCACCAAAUAAUUAUAAAAUAAUGUUUAUAUUUACGUGUGCUUUAUCAUACAUUUUAUACUAAUUUUAAAAUUCAAAUAUCUUUUUUUAAAUUUAAGUUUUUGAACACAGUCUAUAUAUUGAAAAAAAUAAAAAUAAAAUAUGCUCUUCAAUUUGAAGUACAAUUAUAUAUAAAGAAUUUUUUUAUACUUUAAUAUCAAAUUGAAAUCACUACAACAUAAAAAUUUAAAAUUUAAAAGAAAGAUAAUUUUUUUGGGGCUAAAUGCUCAAUUUGGGAUUAAUCAUUUUGGUGGAUGUUCAAUUCAGGAUUAAACGUUUUAAUUUAUAUAAAAAAAAUUAAAUGUUAUCGACUUAUAACAAUAUAUGAUUUUUUUUAACAAAAACUUGAGAGUGUAACAUAGGCCAUUAAGUUUAAAAAUUACUACAAAUAAAAAUGACGUGGAAUUAAGCUUCCAAUCUUUGCAUGACAGAUAGAAAGGCUCUUGUCUUUUUUUAUAAGCUUAUUUCAUUUCAUUUGUCUUUUUCCUUAUCAUUUCUCUUCUUUUUUACAAAGUAAAGUCUACAAAAUUUGGACCAUGAUUUUCUCUUUUUUCUUAUUCUGUUCUAGAACCAUACCUCCACUUGCCUAGGUUUCAGAUUCAAUUGCUUUGCCAAUGCCAACUUUUGCUUUUGCACAUAACACAAAACCAGCAUUAAACCUAAACUGCAAUUUCUGAAACUACCUUUACUAAAGAAAUCAAUGACUGAAAUGCCACUAAUCGUAUUAAGAGUGCUAUGUUCCUUGAAGUUUUCUUUAAGCACCAAGGACUGUUCCUUUGAAAGCCUAAGCUUCUUCCUUGAGGCAUCGCUAGCAGCACCAUCUUCAUCAUCACUGGCACGAAAACAAGGCACUCUUUUAGCCUCGGGUUCAUUACUCACAGAGUCUCUCUCAUUUCUCUUUCCACUAUGUUGUUGGGCGACUCCAACCCAACUUCCUCAUCGUAAUCAACCAUUGCUAGUGCUUGGUUCACAUCAAUUCCUCUAAGAAAUGAUCUUGUAUCCAAGUAUAGAUCUACAUGUAAAUUAUGAAUCACAAAACUCAUUUCAUUAACCUGAUCAGGUUAGCUUUAUCUAAAUAUCAACUUCGUAAUUACAAUAAAAUAGAUGACUAUUUGUGAAUAUUGUGUUGCUUAUGAAAUGUGACACAACAAACCCAAUAGGCCACAUAACACUGUUGUUUAAAUUUCAAGUUCAUUGACUAAUAAUCUGGAUGUGGGACAAAUGUAGCAAUGUUAAGCUUAGGUUAUCAACAUUUUGACUGCAUAAAUGUCAAGCUUAGCUUUUUUCAAGCUUAGUACCUUUGGCUUGCUUGGCUUCUUUAAUGUUUAAGGUAGAAGAUGAAUUGUUUAAAUGGAUGGUUAUUGGAAGCAACAACCAUAAGGAAAUGUUGGUUGUCGGUGAGGUUGGAGUAAGAGUUGUAAUUGGAAUAGCUUUCAUCAUUGACUUUGAAAGGAUGGUUAUUGGAAGCAGCAUGAAUCUCUUCACCUUUCAUCUUUUUUGAAAGGCAGAGCAAAAAGAGAAAAAAAAAAUGAAAUAGAGAUGAUUUAGAUCUAUGAAUUUUUAGAUAACUAUAAAGAAAUUUAUUUGGAUAGAUGUAAUGAAAUGUUUGAGAGGAAAAAAUAAUGAAAUUUUAGGACGAAAAGAUGUAGACAAAUAGUAGUAUGGCAGCAAGAAUCUAAGUUUUAAAGAUAGGCUAGAAUUGAAAUUUUAGAGAGAGAAAAGAAUAACUUAUUAGUCUUUUAGAGAGAGAAAUGAAGAAGUAAUUGUUAGAGUUAAGUAAAAAAGUGAGUUCCAUUGGGAAAAGGCUGUCUUAGUUCUUUUCAUGCAUUAUAACUCACAUUUCUUUCACAUUCAAAUUUUCAUUGAAAAAAAUUCUAUAUUAUUAUAAAUCGAUAAUAUUUAAUCUUUAUUUGUACAAAUUAAAACAUUUAGUCCUAAAUUGAACAACCACCUAAAUGUUUAAUACCAAAUUGAGCAUUUAGCUUUUUUUUGGAAACUUAAUUAAUUAAAAUAAAUUUAUAAAAAUUAAAAACCCCGUGCUUUGCACAAGUAAAAACUAGUAAUGAUAAAUACUAAUAAUUUAAUUGGUAUUUUUAAACUAUAAGUAAAUUUUAAUAACUUUUGAUAUAAUUUUGAUUUCAAUAACUUUUGAUAAAAUUUUGGUAACCUUCGUACAAUUUUGGUAACUUGUAAUAUAUUUUGAUAAUCAUUAAUACAAUUUUGAUAAUUUUUUAUAAAAUUUUGGUAACUUCUUCCUCUCGAUGUAAUUUUAGUAAUCUUUUGAUAAUUUGUUACAUAUAUUUAGUAAUUAUUGAUAAAUUUUGUACCAUCAUAUAUUUUCCUAUAAGAAAGCGAUGGUUCAAUUUUAAUAUAAAAUAAAUUUUUUUAUAUAAUAAUAAUAUUAUUUCGUUCAAAUUCAAAAUUUUUUCACUAAAUUUUUUAUUGAAUAGGUUUAUAGUAGAUUUAUCCUAAACUCUAAAGAUGAAAUUUGUAAUAUAAAAAAUUAGCAUGUGUUAUGUAAAAAAUUAACAUGUGUUAUAAUUGCUAAGUUGUUAAUUUUUAAAAUCAAUUACACAUGUCAAUUUUUUAGAAAACAUAACAAAUUUGAAAAAUUAAUUACAUUACACAUGUUAAAUUUUUAGAUUCUCUAUAUGUCAAAAGAUAAGCCUAUCCACUUUAUACUAUCUCUUUUUUUCUUAAAGAUUUUGACUUAUAUAUAUGUGUAUAUAUAUGUAGAUACAUAAGAGAAGAUAAGAUAAGAUAUUGUAUUUUUCUAAUAAUGUAAUAUUUAAUUUGAAUUCAAACCGUUAGACCAUUUAAUUUGACAUUUAUUUAAUUUUAGUAUUUUAGAUGCAUGUUAGGGCUACAUGAAAAGAAAUUACACUAAAACAUUUAAAUUCGAGAAAAUGGGUCAUUAAGAUAUACAUGACCAACUUUGUUCAAUUUUAUUAUAACUGGUCCCUCAGUAUUAAAGGACUAAACCUACAUAAAGCAGAAUAUAGUUUAUGCUACGAUAUUGAUUUACCAUUUUGAAAGUAAACUAACCUUUUUUUAAAUGUAGAUUAAAUUUACUUGUUGUAAGAUUUAAAUGAAUUUCAAUUUCAUUGGCUGGACAGGUUGUGAUUGGGGAAGUGUUGGAUGUGGUGGUCUACAUGCCAUAGUUGAGAUUGGAAUUGGGUUGGUGUAGAGUUCAGAGGGAUUCUUGGAGUUUUGUUAGAGACCAUGAGAGUUUGUUUAACAAUGGGUUUGCAAUACUAAUUCAUUUCUUUGUUUUUGCUUGUUUCUGUACUUCAUUACUUUCAUUUCAUGCUUUUAGCGUGAAGUGAUUGAGGGAAGGAAGGAAGGGCCUCAAAACGUAGGAUAAGAGUAUUAAUUUGUUUAGUUAGCAUGGAGCUGUGAGUAUAGGAUCAGAAUCCACUUAGUUCAGACUAUCACUGUCGUGGGUCUAGGAACCUGAUCGCUGGAUUUUAGAAAAAUGAAAAUGAAUAAAAUGUAUCUAAUAUCUUAUAUAAAUAUAUAAAAACUAAAACUUUGCACAAAAAAAGAAAUUUGUCAAAUGUGGAAGGUUUAUUAUUUUGACACAUGUACAUUCUUAAAUAAACGACAUGUGUCAUCUAUAAAUAAAUUUUAUUUGAUUUGAUUUGGUAUAUUUUUAAUUUAAAAAAAUUAAAAUGCUUAAAUUGAUUUGAUUCAUUUUAAUGUAAAAAAAAAAUGUAAAUUUAUUUCGUUUAGAUUAUUGCCUUUAUUCUCUUCAAUUUCCAUUAGUCUUACCUUACAUAAAUAAGUUUCAAUUCCAUUUAUAAUCAAAGUUUGUAUUCUCUUAUUCUUAUUGACCUUAAAUCACUCUUAAUUAAAUUUUAUUCUUGAUUCUUAACAUUCAACUUCAACAUUACAAAUAGGACUAUGCUUUGGUGCAUUACGAAUAAUAGUAUUGGUUUGGUCUACUCUAUACUUCUAUUAUGUUCUGUUUCUUUUUUUCUUUUGUUCCAUUAGUUUGUUUCUUCAUGCUUCUAUUUGUUUUAUUCCUCUUUAUGUCAAAGUGUUAUUUCUUUUAUUAUUUUUUAAUAUUAAAAUUUGGUUUUUACAAAAAAAAAAAAAAAAACCAGUUUGCCUUUAGUUCUUAAAAUAUUAGUAUAACAUACAAGUAAGUUGAUGUGCAUUAGAAAUUAAUCUAAACAUUCCCUACACAAUAUAAAAUAACUUGCUUUUAUUUUGUUUUUCUAUUUCAUUUUUAGUUUAUUUUUUAAUGAUUUAGUUUUUCUAUUUAAUUUUAGUUUAUUUUUAAUGAUUUAGUUUCUAAUUUUUAUAUGCAAAUGUUUGUAUGCUAUGUAAUUAAUAUUUGCUGCAAAAUUCAACCAGUUUUAAUAAUUGUUAACAAAUUGUUACCAGGAACAUUUCUGAUCUCAAAUGCCAUAGUGAAAGAUCACUACACAUGAAAAAUUAGUCUAUGGUACACGAGGAUAUCCAAGAAAAUAUGUAUACCUUUGCAAUUCUAUUAUUUUAUGAUACACUUUGCAUAUAAAUUUCUUCUAUUACUGCAACACAUUCUAGGGUUUACAUAAAUAUCAUUUAAACCAUUAUACAUUGCCAUCAUUUUAGAUUGUAUUCAAAUGAUGAUGCCUUCAUUUAAAAAUAAAAAUUCAACAUUCAACUUUAACACUAUAUAAGAAUAAAAGUAUGCUUUCAUGCAUUAACAUUUAAUAAUUAAUACUGAAAAGAAUUUAAUUUAAAUUAUUAUUAGAAGACUAAAUUUUAAUUUUAUAUAUUAUUGUUUUAACAAUACUACAUUAAAUGAUUUCUUUCUAGCACAUGAUAAAAAAAUCAAUUUGAGUUACUUCCAAAUAAUUAAUCCAUAUAAAAACACAUUUUAAAAUAUUAUUACCUGAGAAUAGGAGUAUAAUUGGACUGCCUGGUUCUGUUCACCAUAAAUUUAGCAAUUUUCACUUUUAGAACUAUCUUUUUAAUAUAUUUAAUGUAAAUAUAUAAAAAGAGAAUUUUUAUAUACAUAAUUAACCUUAUUGAAAUGUGAAAAAUCUUGAAAACUCAUCAUCUUUCUAAGUGAAAUUGCUUUGAUUUGAUUUGAUUUAAUUUUAAUUUAAAAGUUAUUUCAAAUAAUAAAUUGUCUUUGUUUCUUUAAGCAAUUUUAAUUUAAUUACUUUUUACAUUUUUCAUAGACUUGAUGACAAUGUAUAACAAUUAGUACAAGUUUAAAUUUAAAAGCUAAAUUCAGUUCACAAUCAAAGAAUAAAUUAAUUUCGUAUUUUAGUUAUUUUUCCAAAUGAAUUGAUAAAUAUUUAGUUGUCUUAUUUGUGCCUAAGAUAAUAAUGAAAACGAUAACUUUUGACUGUAAUUGAAAAUAUUUUUUUAUCCAAAUCUUGUAUAUAAAUAUAUACAAGCUAAAACCUCUAACAAAAAAAAAUCUGAUAUGCCUAGUCUAUAUUUUUGACAUGUGGAUAAUCCAAAAAAUUGACAUAUGUUUAAAAUUAAUUAUGCAUUUAAAGUUUAAAAUUUGAUGGAAAAAUAAAUUUAAUUUAAAAUAUCUUAUUUUCAUUAUUAUAAAAUGCAUUUAAUGAUUCUUAUUAACAUUUAUUUUUAAAUGAUUAAUUGACUAAAAUAAAUUAAGAACCAAAUCAAGAGUAAUAACAUAUUAAAUUGAGAGUAAUUUAUGCUUGAUAAUUAGAAUAGUCAAGUAUAAUGUGUAUUCAAUAUGCUUGCAAAAAAUAAAAAAAAAAAUUGAAAUUAAUAUAAUAAUAAUAAUAAUAAAAUAAUUUGAUUUGACAUACUAAAAAUAAUUUUAAUUGAUUUAAUCAUCUGUUAGUUAUUUUAAAAUCAAUAUAUUAAAUAUAUAUAUAUAUAGCUUAAAAGAUGGAGCGAAUAGAUCAUAUUUUUAAAAAAAAUUGGAAGUAAAUGCUAUAAUAAAUAUAAAUCAAGAGUUAAAUAUUUAUAAUUGAAAAAAUAGAUAUAAAAUUAUUUUAUUUAUUAAUAAUGACAACUAAAAUUUUAAUACCUUUCAUAUGAACUUAAUGAGAGUGAUUUAAGGUAAAUAAUAAAAAAAUAAAUGUAAUCAAUUUAUUUUUUGAAUUAUUUUUUAAAUUAAAAAUAUAUCAAAUAAAAUAAAAUACAUUUAUUAGAGGAAAUAUAGUGUCAUAACAUAUAAGUUCACAAACCUAUCACUCGACACAAUUAAAAAAGUCACUAUCAAUUUUUUUUGUUUAAAUGCAAUUGGUACUAUUUUCAUUGAAACUUUUUAAUUUUAAUAAGUUAUAUAUAAUUAUAUCAAUAGUAUAUUGCCUUUUACGAGGUGUUUGAAUAGGGAAAAAGUUAGAUUACCCCUUGAAUCUUAUUUUUCAUAAUUUGAUUUUUUUUUGUUUGGCUCGCAGUAUUUGAUUCUUGCGGGUAUUUUAAGAUUCCCAAUAGUAUCCAAAUGGUUCAAAAAUAGAAACUCACCUCUCCCUAAGGUUUUUUAAAAUUUCAAAAAAAUGUAAAAUUUAUAUCACUUUUGACCUCAAUAAUAGUUUUUUAUAAUUUAUUUUACCUUUAAAUAUUAAUGUAAUUAUAUGAUAAAUGGAGAUUUAUUCUGACACGCAAAGCUACAUUCCUAGCAUUUUUUACAUACAAUCAAUAAAACAUAACAUUUUUUACAUAAAUAUGUAGUUGUUGUUGGUAGAGUAAAUAUAAUAGAAUAUUUAUGAUAUUUUAACUAUGUUUUUUUAUAUAAAAAACAAAAUAUUUGAUUGUCAAAAACUGCAUAUAUAACAGCCAAAACGAUAUGUUUUUUAAGUAAAUUUUUUUAUGAUUUAUCAAACACUAUGUUGUUAUAUUAGAAAUGUGAUUAUAUGUUAUAAUAUGUUAUGAAAAAAUUAAUUAUAAUAAAAACAACAUUUUUUAAAAAAAAUGUAAUUGAUUUUGAAAAAUAAGAAUUUUGCAUUUUAUAUAGUUUUAGAAGCACUAUGUUUUUAACAUAUAAAACAUAGUUGAUAAUAAAAAUAACAUUUUUGAAUAUAGAAAUUACAACAUUUGUUGAAAAUAUGAAAAAAAAUAUUUUUUAAAAUUCAACAAAGAUUGCUUUUGUAAGAUAGAAAAAGCAAUCUUUGUUGAAAAAGCUACUUUUCUAAGAUAAAAAUGUAGUUUUUGUUAAAUAAACGAUAUUUUUAAGCUAAAAAGAUAAUCUUUGUUAAAAAAACAACAUUUCUAAUAAGAAAAAAGAAUUUUUGUUGAAAAUAUAAAAUUUUUUUUUAAAAAUUCAAUAAAGACAAUGCUUCUAGAUAAAAAAAGUGAUUUUUGUUAAAAGCAUAAAAAAAAUACUUUUUAAAAUUUAACAAAAAUAAUGUUCUUAAGAUAAAAAUAUAAUUUUUAUUAAAAAAAUGACGUAUCAAUAUUAUAAUAUCAAAUGUUAUUCACAUAUUAUUAAAAGAUAAUAUAACAAAAUAUUUUAUUAGAUAAUCUUACGUUCCUAUAAAUCAAAUAUAAAAAUCGUAACAAUGUCCAUUACUAAUACCUAUCAUCAUAACUUUACACCUACACCUUACACGGUGUCAUCAUAACUUUUUAUCACGUGUCAAGUUCAAAAGCUCCCAUCUUUUAAAUUAAAAUCAUCAACCCCAACUCCAUCAGAGACACAACCCUUCCUUUCAUCGCGUAAAUCCCCUGCCACCCAUCAAUCUCGAUGCCACGAAUAUAAAUUGAAUUAAUUAAACUUAGAAUCUAAGAUAAUAAUUUAAUUUAUUGGGCGAUCGAUGUGUGAGAUUUUAAAUUUUAAAAGAAAAUAUGAUAUUUGAAGUUUUAUUUGAUUUAUAAAAUAUUUCUUUUAAAUUCAAUCGUUUAAUUGAAGAAAAUGUUUAUUUAUUAAAUUAUAUAAUUGAUAAUAAAUUUUUUGACAACUUAGAAGUAACCUUUUAUUUUAAUUUUUUUAAAUCAGACGAUAAAUGAUAUUUUUAUCAUCAAAUAAAAUACAUAGCUUUUAUUUUUUUAAAAUUAAAUAUAUUUUAUUAAGAUGUUUAAUUACACAUUAUAUCAUAAUUGAGUUUAUAAAAAUAUACAACAAAAUUUUCAAUUACAAUGUUUAAUUUUACAUUAUACCGUAUUUGACGUUAAAAAAAAAUAAAACCCUUCAAUUACUGCAUUUCAUUUCAAUAAACACUGUAAUUGAUAUGUUUUAAUAAUUGAAUCAAAUCAAAUUUUGAAUAAAAUCCAACAGAAAGUAAAAAUGGAGUAGAAAGUUAAAUUUUUCUCCAUAAAUUGCAUGAGAGGGGAGUCAACAGAGACAGGAUCAUUAACAUAGUGGCUUUUAUGGAAAAUCUGACGGUGACCUAAAAUUUCAGACCCCGUUUUUGAAACAACCAUGUUGUUCUUUUCCUCAUUGUUUAUUGGUUUAUUAAAGGUAGAAGACCAAAACAAAAUUGAAUUUGGAUGGGUUUUUAUUGCCAAGAUUGUGGGUUGAAAGGUAAAAGAUUUGUUGGAGUGGGAAAAGAGUGGGAAAGAUUCAAGGAAAAGAUUGGUUUUGGUUGAUGAGAAGAUGUAAGGGCGAGUUGCUAUUAUAGUCUUGGCCAUUGAAGACGUCAAAGGGUGGCUGUGGGGAAAUUGAAACUGGUUUUUCCAAAUAAAAAACGGGUGGUGACUGGUGAGAGAGGAAGAUGGCAAAAACAAAGGGAAAAUGGGCUUUAAAUUUUGGGGCCGAAUGCUCAUUUCAUUGAAAUUGGCAAUACGGUAACCUGUUGUAACCGCCCAAAAAAUUGUCCAAAUCAUGAACUCGUGGUCCACGAACGAUACUGUCUGCUUCGAGGUCACAUUUUCGUUUUCUUCUAUGAUGUUGGAUUCAAAAGGAUCUAUUUGGUAUUCAAAUUAGGUUAUGUGUUCAUCUACGUUAACAAGGAGAGAUGACAAAAAACAAACAUAUGAAAUUUGAUCAUUUUUUAUUGAUCUUUUGUUCAAUUGAAAAUUUUGAUAUCAAGUUGGGUGUUUGUAGAAUUGAAAUUCAUAGCAAAUGAAAUUAAGAAGUGUUCAUUUCUAAUAAUUUUACAGGAAAAAAAAAACAAUAAGAAAAACUUUUUUUCUUUUCAUCGGGCGAUAUGGACCAAUGUUGUGGUUAACAAAUUGGAAAGAGAUUAGGAUGGGAAAAAAUUGUAACAUGUACUAUUUUUGGAGUCUUCAAUGAAUUAAAUGGGUUUAAUUUUAAAGACACCAGCAUGAAUAAUUAUUGGACAAAAUAUGGACCACUAGCUCCAAUUGAAAAAAAAGGGCAAUUAAGAAUUUUUUUUUUAAAGAAUGUCAAAUCUUUGAAAUAAUUAACAGAAUAAUCCUAAUAAAAGAAAUAACAAUUUUAUCAUAGAUUGAGAGGAAUAAUAGUUAAAAUAAACAAUAAUUCAUAUAAAUAAUAACUUAAAACAAAAUUUUCAAAUUUAUUUACAUUAAUUUUGUACUUAUUUUUAAGUAAAAUUAUUUUCUAAAUAUAUGUGACAAUAAAAUAUUUAAAAUUUUGCUUGAAUAAAAUAUUAAAAAAUAAUAAAAAUUAAAAGAGAAAGAAAAUAUUUUUAAUUUAAUAGACUAAAUAAAAUAUGUCUUUCAAUUAAAUAUAAUAAACAAAUAAAAAGGAAAUGUCUCACUUCAUAGUUAUUGCCAAAAAAAAAAAAAGGUCAAUGUAAGGAAAUUGUAGUUUUCCUUUAGAAAAAUAAAUAAAACUUGAUUUUAUUUUGAUGAAAUGAUUAAUAUAAAAACAAUUACAAUCAUUAUUCAAAUAUUAUAUAUAUAGAAUUAAUAAAAAUAAUAACAACUCAAAUAAACCAAACAGCAAAAGAUUUAACAUAUAAUUAGAUAACUUUAAUAUAAAAUUAAAUCAAACUUAUAUGACACGUAAUGCAAACACACUUAAAGAUUUUCCUAAAAAAAAAAUUAGAAUUUUAAGUUUUAACCCACAAGCAAGUCACCAGUUGCUUCUUAGAAUUAACAAGCUAGUUUCCAACUACAACACCACACAUGACACAUUCUCUCUUCAUGUCUCGAUUUUUUCUCUUCUACACUAUAUUUCUUUUGUUCUUUUACAAAGCAGAUGAAACAGAAACUGAUUUACCCAUUUCAUCAGCUGGCUGCUCCUUCGACAUGUUGUCCAAUUCCUUGGAAAAUCUUUCCAUAGCUGGAGCUGUCAAACAAAUUAGCAUAAGAGUUCCAGCCUCUCCAUUUUUAUUCUUGGAUGCUACAAGAUGGCUUGAUGCCACAGGUAUAGCACCUAUCCCAGCUUUGGCGAACCCACCGUAAACUGCCUUACCCCACCCAAAAUCAACGUCUACAAAUGCAACACGGGUUACAUCUGAUAUAAAACAAGAUCUCACCAUUGUACAGUGGAGUCUUUUACCUUUAAUCACCAUGAAAUCUGCUGCUGAUUUAACGUAUUCUUCAGUCACACUCUCCUUGGCUUGCUUCACUAGUUCCACUGCAUAUCCUAGCGGAUUCUGGCAGAGUUUUCUAGCUGUUGUUAUUGCCGCUGGGAACACAAUUGCAUUCCCAUAAAAUCCUGAUGGUAAUGGAGGAUUCAACUUGGAACGUACAUUGACAACGCAUAGCAAUCGCACCUCUUCAUCAGGGUCAGGUUUUAUAGCAAUGGUUCGACAACGCCAUAAACACGAUGCUAAGAUGUCAAAUUUCGAACACUUAUGAAGGUGGUGCGGUAGGAGCUUGCGAAGAGUUGAAACUUCUUUGGGGCCAAAGAAAAAGGAGCGUUGAACCAUGUUUUCCGAUAGGAUGAUAGUGCCUUCUACUUCAUCGUAUUCACGGUGCGUGAAUGAGAUUCGUGGUGGAUCACGAGCAUCUAAGAGGUGCCUCUCCCACUUGGGUGGGAUUGAGGGAGCAAUUGCACCACGACUCAUCUCAGCCAUGGCAGACAUGAAUUGAAUCAUGCCACCGGCAUCGCCUAAGACAUGGUUGAAGCGAAUGGCAAAGAUAAAACCUCCACAUUUCAGUCUUGUUACCUGUUGAUUAGUUUAUUUUUCAUCAUGCAACGACUUUCCAAUAUUAAUUAUGAACAGUACGAAGAGAGGAUGUAUAAAAGUAUCUAAAUAUAGAGUAAUUAAAUUGCAUCACAUAUAUUCGUUAUUUUUGUGUAAUAUUUAUUUUCAUUUAUGAUUUUUAAAUUUUAUUUUAUUCAUCUAAUGUUUUAAAAAUAUUUCAUAUUCAUAAAUUUCAUCGACUAUCAUUAAAAUUAAUUCGAUAAAAUCUAUCAUCUUAAAACUACAUGUAUGGCUAUGUCUAAGUGACAAAAAAGUAAAUCAUUUUAACUUUUUAUCCUAAAAAAAAAUAUUUUAUAUUCAUAAAUUUUGUCGACUAUCAUUAAAAUUAAUUCGAUAAAAUCUACCAUCUUAAAACUAUAUGUAUGGUUAUGUCUAAGUGACAAAAAAGUAAAUCCUUUUAACUUUUUAUCAUAAAAUUUAUAUCAUAAACAUUUACCUUUCAUUGUCGUGUUAUAUUUCAUUAAAUUUAUAAUAAUGAUUGAUAAAAUAGAUGAAUUUAUAAAUAAAUUUUAAAAAUUAUAAAUAAAAAAUAUAUAUUUUACAAAAAUCAUAGAUGUAAGAUGCAUUUUUCUCUAAAAUACAUAAUAAAAGAAAGAAAAAAAAUGGUUACAAGUACCAUUAUACUGGCGAUCUUGUUGGAAGCAUCCACAAACUAAAUUAUUGGUAUAGGCUUGUAGUUGUAGGCUCGGCAGCAUGACUCCGAUCAAGCGUGGGUAUAAAUUUUUUAAGCCGAGCACCAUCCAAAGAUAAUAUUAUAUUUAUUUAAUUUUAAUCUUAACUAUAUUUAUAAAUAUUAAUAAAAGGAUAUUUUAAUAAUAAAUAUAACAUUUCUUAUAAAUAUAAAUACUCCUACUACCAUCCAUGUCAAGAGCAAGAUGUUCAAAAAUGGCGUAUGCCCGUAUAAGAAGCACAUGCAUGUAAAGGAGCUCAUCAAAGCAAGGGAAUGGUGGUUGAAGUGCAUACAAGUCAAUUAGUUAAUAAAAUGAAAAGUAAGUUGAUCACGUUAAUGCUCACAAGACCUUGGAGCUGUAAAUAACCAAGUACCUCAACAUCCCUUCUGAGCCUGGAACAUUGUAAAGGAGCUCAUCAAAGCAAGGGAAUGGCGGUUGAAGUGCAUCGCCAAAUUGCUCGAGUUUAACAUCAGCUUCAGCCUCAAUAAACAAGGCACCCUCGCCGGUGCAUCCACCGCAAGCUUGCGAUUACGACUUUCCCUUAGCCUACCAGCUAAUGGAUAAUAAAAAAACUAAGGUUUGUGCAAGUGCAUCCUUAAUAACCCUUGCAGGGUCCUUCCCUUGCAUGCAUGGAUUGCACCGAUAAAUUUGAAUGACAGGAAUCUGUAACCGGAGACUCUGUUGAUCAUCAAUGUCGGAUAAUAGUUUAUACUCGCAAGGUGUGGCCUUGGCCGGAGCAACAAGCUCGGCUUCGCUUCUUCGAAUUGUAAAUACCAGGGAAGUUGGCAGUUGUGGCAUGGCACAAAACCUGUAGGAUUUAUGUGGGGUUAGACACAGAUGAUAG
rnacentral:lncRNA from 1 species